rnacentral:siRNA from 1 species
CAUGCCAAUGUAUGUUAGUCCA